AGGUUGAGCGAAGGGGUUAACCGCUUUCAGUCGGUGAAUUGUAAGGGGAUGGUCUGCUUUGUUGGCACCAAGAGGGAUGGAGUUAGUUUGAUUCUGAUGUGUGAUUUGGCUGGGAAGAGGUGGUGGUGGCCGAGGGGGCAGGAGGGGAGGACGGCUGGGAUGGGAAAUUGUUUGGUGCACACGGUGGAACCUUAUAUUGGUUUGGUGAAAGGGAGCAUAUAAUUUGGAGGCUUUAAGGGACUAGUUCAAGGAGAAGAAACACUGCUUGUUCUGGCCUGCUAGUUUUUCCUCGUGAUGGUUUCAUGUUGAUAUUCAUUGCUUUUGUUGACUACUACUGUUGUAGCCGAUACCAAUUUACGGAUUAUUAGCAACUUUAGUGCUCACAAUCAAGCACUUGUUCUUUUGAUGUUGUGACAGAAUUUUGUACAUAGAAUAGUAUGGAGGAAAAAUUUCCCCUUAUUUCAUCUCUGCUUUUUUGUGGCUA